UGGGGAAUAUUGGGCAAUGGGCGCAAGCCUGACCCAGCAACGCCGCGUGAGGGAAGAAGGCUUUCGGGUUGUAAACCUCUGUCCUUGGUGACGAAACAAAUGACGGUAGCCAAGGAGGAAGCCCCGGCUAACUACGUGCCAGCAGCCGCGGUAAUACGUAGGGGGCGAGCGUUGUCCGGAAUUACUGGGCGUAAAGGGUGCGUAGGCGGUUUCCUAAGUCAGAUGUGAAAUCCCCGGGCUUAACUCGGGUGGUGCAUUUGAAACUGGGAGGCUAGAGUGCAGGAGAGGGAAGCGGAAUUCCUAGUGUAGCGGUGAAAUGCGUAGAUAUUAGGAGGAACACCAGUGGCGAAGGCGGCUUUCUGGACUGUAACUGACGCUGAGGCACGAAAGCGUGGGGAGCAAACA
rnacentral:rRNA from 1 species